GAUUAAGUUAUUAAGGGCGCACGGUGGAUGCCUUGGCACUAGAAGCCGAUGAAGGACGUUACUAACGACGAUAUGCUUUGGGGAGCUGUAAGUAAGCUUUGAUCCAGAGAUUUCCGAAUGGGGAAACCCAGCAUGAGUUAUGUCAUGUUAUCGAUAUGUGAAUACAUAGCAUAUCAGAAGGCACACCCGGAGAACUGAAACAUCUUAGUACCCGGAGGAAGAGAAAGAAAAUUCGAUUCCCUUAGUAGCGGCGAGCGAAACGGGAAGAGCCCAAACCAACAAGCUUGCUUGUUGGGGUUGUAGGACACUCUAUACGGAGUUACAAAGGACGACAUUAGACGAAUCAUCUGGAAAGAUGAAUCAAAGAAGGUAAUAAUCCUGUAGUCGAAAAUGUUGUCUCUCUUGAGUGGAUCCUGAGUACGACGGAGCACGUGAAAUUCCGUCGGAAUCUGGGAGGACCAUCUCCUAAGGCUAAAUACUCUCUAGUGACCGAUAGUGAACCAGUACCGUGAGGGAAAGGUGAAAAGCACCCCGGAAGGGGAGUGAAAUAGAACCUGAAACCGUGUGCUUACAAGUAGUCAGAGCCCGUUAAUGGGUGAUGGCGUGCCUUUUGUAGAAUGAACCGGCGAGUUACGAUUUGAUGCAAGGUUAAGCAGUAAAUGUGGAGCCGUAGCGAAAGCGAGUCUGAAUAGGGCGUUUAGUAUUUGGUCGUAGACCCGAAACCAGGUGAUCUACCCUUGGUCAGGUUGAAGUUCAGGUAACACUGAAUGGAGGACCGAACCGACUUACGUUGAAAAGUGAGCGGAUGAACUGAGGGUAGCGGAGAAAUUCCAAUCGAACCUGGAGAUAGCUGGUUCUCUCCGAAAUAGCUUUAGGGCUAGCCUCAAGUGAUGAUUAUUGGAGGUAGAGCACUGUUUGGACGAGGGGCCCCUCUCGGGUUACCGAAUUCAGACAAACUCCGAAUGCCAAUUAAUUUAACUUGGGAGUCAGAACAUGGGUGAUAAGGUCCGUGUUCGAAAGGGAAACAGCCCAGACCACCAGCUAAGGUCCCAAAAUAUAUGUUAAGUGGAAAAGGAUGUGGCGUUGCCCAGACAACUAGGAUGUUGGCUUAGAAGCAGCCAUCAUUUAAAGAGUGCGUAAUAGCUCACUAGUCGAGUGACACUGCGCCGAAAAUGUACCGGGGCUAAACAUAUUACCGAAGCUGUGGAUUGUCCUUUGGACAAUGGUAGGAGAGCGUUCUAAGGGCGUUGAAGCAUGAUC
rnacentral:rRNA from 1 species